GAUGAACGCUGGCGGCGUGCCUAAUACAUGCAAGUCGAGCGAACGGACGAGAACCUUGCUUCUCUGAUGUUAGCGGCGGACGGGUGAGUAACACGUGGAUAACCUACCUAUAAGACUGGGAUAACUUCGGGAAACCGGAGCUAAUACCGGAUAAUAUUUUGAACCGCAUGGUUCAAAAGUGAAAGACGGUCUUGCUGUCACUUAUAGAUGGAUCCGCGCUGCAUUAGCUAGUUGGUAAGGUAACGGCUUACCAAGGCAACGAUGCAUAGCCGACCUGAGAGGGUGACCGGCCACACUGGAACUGAGACACGGUCCAGACUCCUACGGGAGGCAGCAGUAGGGAAUCUUCCGCAAUGGGCGAAAGCCUGACGGAGCAACGCCGCGUGAGUGAUGAAGGUCUUCGGAUCGUAAAACUCUGUUAUUAGGGAAGAACAUAUGUGUAAGUAACUGUGCACAUCUUGACGGUACCUAAUCAGAAAGCCACGGCUAACUACGUGCCAGCAGCCGCGGCAAUACGUAGGUGGCAAGCGUUAUCCGGAAUUAUUGGGCGUAAAGCGCGCGUAGGCGGUUUUUUAAGUCUGAUGUGAAAGCCCACGGCUCAACCGUGGAGGGUCAUUGGAAACUGGAAAACUUGAGUGCAGAAGAGGAAAGUGGAAUUCCAUGUGUAGCGGUGAAAUGCGCAGAGAUAUGGAGGAACACCAGUGGCGGAGGCGACUUUCUGGUCUGUAACUGACGCUGAUGUGCGAAAGCGUGGGGAUCAAACAGGAUUAGAUACCCUGGUAGUCCACGCCGUAAACGAUGAGUGCUAAGUGUUAGGGGGUUUCCGCCCCUUAGUGCUGCAGCUAACGCAUUAAGCACUCCGCCUGGGGAGUACGACCGCAAGGUUGAAACUCAAAGGAAUUGACGGGGACCCGCACAAGCGGUGGAGCAUGUGGUUUAAUUCGAAGCAACGCGAAGAACCUUACCAAAUCUUGACAUCCUUUGACAACUCUAGAGAUAGAGCCUUCCCCUUCGGGGGACAAAGUGACAGGUGGUGCAUGGUUGUCGUCAGCUCGUGUCGUGAGAUGUUGGGUUAAGUCCCGCAACGAGCGCAACCCUUAAGCUUAGUUGCCAUCAUUAAGUUGGGCACUCUAAGUUGACUGCCGGUGACAAACCGGAGGAAGGUGGGGAUGACGUCAAAUCAUCAUGCCCCUUAUGAUUUGGGCUACACACGUGCUACAAUGGACAAUACAAAGGGCAGCGAAACCGCGAGGUCAAGCAAAUCCCAUAAAGUUGUUCUCAGUUCGGAUUGUAGUCUGCAACUCGACUACAUGAAGCUGGAAUCGCUAGUAAUCGUAGAUCAGCAUGCUACGGUGAAUACGUUCCCGGGUCU
rnacentral:rRNA from 1 species